UACAGAGGUCUCAAGCGUUGUUCGGAUUCAUUGGGCGUAAAGGGUGUGUAGGUGGCGCGCUAAGUCGGGUGUGAAAUUUCGGAGCUUAACUCCGAAACUGCAUUCGAUACUGCCGUGCUUGAGGACUGGAGAGGAGACUGGAAUUUACGGUGUAGCGGUGAAAUGCGUAGAUAUCUGGAGGAACACCGGUGGCGAAGGCGGCAUCCUGGACCAAUAUUGACGCUGAGGAGCGAAAGCCAGGGGAGCAAACGGG
rnacentral:rRNA from 1 species